CGGAGGAUCCGAGCGUUAUCCGGAUUUAUUGGGUUUAACGGGUGCGCAGGCGGCCAUUUAAGUCAGCGGUUAAAUCGUGGGGCUCAACCCCAUUCUGCCGUUGAUACUGGGUGGCUUGAUUGCGGUCGAGGUUGGCGGACUUCGUUGUGUAGCGGUGAAAUGCAUAGAUAUGACGAAGAACACCGAUUGCGUAGGCAGCUGACCAGACCGCAAAUGACGCUCAUGCACGAAAGUGCGGGGAUCGAACAGGAUUAGAUACCCUGGUAGUCCGCACAGUAAACGAUGAAUACUUGUUUUCGGCGAUAUAAUGUCGGAGGCAAAGCGAAAGCGAUAAGUAUUCCACCUGGGGAGUACGCCGGCAACGGUGAAACUCAAAGGAAUUGACGGGG
rnacentral:rRNA from 1 species